rnacentral:rRNA from 1 species
AUUGAACGCUGGCGGCAUGCCUUACACAUGCAAGUCGAACGGCAGCACGGGAGCAAUCCUGGUGGCGAGUGGCGAACGGGUGAGUAAUAUAUCGGAACGUGCCCAGUCGUGGGGAUAACGUAGCGAAAGCUACGCUAAUACCGCAUACGAUCUAUGGAUGAAAGCGGGGGAUCGCAAGACCUCGCGCGAUUGGAGCGGCCGAUAUCAGAUUAGGUAGUUGGUGAGGUAAAGGCUCACCAAGCCGACGAUCUGUAGCUGGUCUGAGAGGACGACCAGCCACACUGGGACUGAGACACGGCCCAGACUCCUACGGAGGCAGCAGUGGGGAAUUUUUGGGACAAUGGGCGCAAGCCUGAUCCAGCAAUGCCGCGUGCAGGAUGAAGGCCUUC